rnacentral:rRNA from 1 species
GAUGAACGCUGGCGGCGCGCCUGACACAUGCAAGUCGAACGGCACCUAUCUUCGGAUAGAAGCGAGUGGCGAACGGCUGAGUAACACGUGGAGAACCUGCCCCCUCCCCCGGGAUAGCCGCCCGAAAGGACGGGUAAUACCGGAUACCCCCGGGCGCCGCAUGGCGCCCGGGCUAAAGCCCCGACGGGAGGGGAUGGCUCCGCGGCCCAUCAGGUAGACGGCGGGGUGACGGCCCACCGUGCCGACAACGGGUAGCCGGGUUGAGAGACCGACCGGCCAGAUUGGGACUGAGACACGGCCCAGACUCCUACGGGAGGCAGCAGUGGGGAAUCUUGCGCAAUGGGGGGAACCCUGACGCAGCGACGCCGCGUGCGGGACGGAGGCCUUCGGGUCGUAAACCGCUUUCAGCAGGGAAGAGUCAAGACUGUACCUGCAGA